AGAAUUUCCAUGCAAGGGAUGGGGAUUUUAGGGAUUUGAGGAUCUCGGAGGCUUCGAGAGGGGUGAGGACGGUCGGGCAUUGGGGUUGGAGGGACUGGAGGUAGUCGGAGAGGUCGGAGAAUGGGUCUGAGAACGACGGCGUUUUGGGGUUUCGGCGGCGGCGACGAGAGAGCGACCGGUUGGGGAGGUGGAGGUGAUCUUGGCGGUGUACUUUGUGGCAAAGUGGCGGCGCGUGGGGCGGAGUGGGUGGUGGCAGCGGUUUAGCUUCAUGAGUGGGGUUCGGUUAGAAUUUAGAAGAGAAGUUCAAAAGUGAAGCUCAAUUAAGACCAUUAUUUCUGUUGAACAAUUAAGACCCUUUUAUUUAAAAAAUAUUAUUUAAGCACAAUACAAUAUGAGAAUAAGAAAAAUAACUCUUUCCUUUUUUUAAAUAAGGGGUUAUUAAUGAAAUUCAUCCUAAAAUAUCACUCAUUUUUAAAUUGAUUUUGAAAAGAUUAAAUUAGUCAUAGUAAUUUUUGAAAGAUAAUUUCGUCUAUGUUACACUUGCAGUAUAUAAUUAAUUUUAAAUUUGGAUAAAACAUGAGGGUUGUGUUAGACUUUCGACAGUCAACAUAAAAACUUAGGUGAAUCUUUCAUGACAUGGAUCAAAGAUAUUAUUGCGUUAAAGUUAGGUCGUUGCCUAAAAGUAACACGCCGUAUGGUUCGCGUACAGUGUCAAAUGAGCAAGAACCACUGCAUCGAUACCCGAGUGUAGUGUUAAAUUAGCAAGUGUUCCCGCAUUUUCGUGAACGGACGAGGAUAAAUAAGCUAGUUUAUAAGGAAAAAGGUAAAUGUAAAGGUCGGGGUGAGAGAAGGUUGAGAUUUGGAACAUGGAACAAAGGCACUCUAACAGGAAAAUCUAUAGAGGUGGUGAAUACCACGACAAGGAGGAAGAUUAACAUUAUGUACGUACAAGAAACAAAUGGGUCGGGGCGAAGGCUAGAGUAUCGUGGAUAAGUAGUGGAAGAAAGACCUAGCGGAUGUCAAGAAGGUGGGUGAUCGGAUCAUCUCUAUCAAACUUGUAGUGGAAGGAGGUACUUUUCAUGUGAUUAGCGCCUAUCCACCGCAAGUGGGUUUGGACGAGUAACAGUUUUGGAAGAAUCUAGAGAGUUUGGUUCAAGACAUACCUUCAAGAGAUAAGAUUUUCUUAGGAGGACAUUUAAAUGGCCAUGUUGGAAGAGAAAAGUGAUUGGGUCACAGAGACCAUGGUUUCGGAGUGGUCAAUACCGAAGGUAAAAUUAUUUUGGACUUUUUUUCAACUUUUGACCUUUUCAUCACAAAUACAUGUUUUAAAAAUAGAGACGAAUAUCUUAUAACCUAUAGAAGUGGGGAGAUUCUACUAUGCUGAAACCAUUUUCUUUCUUCACAUGUUGAAGACAUAUGGAGAGGCUGCUGGAAUGACACGCGUUGAGAGAGAAAUCAAGGGAAAGCUAACUCUCUGCUUUGUAGUAGAACAUGGGUCUCACAUAAUUUGUCGGUUACUUACCCAAGUGCUUAUGAUUAUAACAUUGGGUUAAUUAAAGUGUUAAUUUUUUUUAACUAAUGUUAAAAGUUAUUGCAAAAAACUAUGAUGGGUUAUUUUACAAAAAAGAGAGACUUGGAUUCAAGAGGACUAACAGGUUUGGGUUUAACCAAAAAAGACCUUACGCAUUGUUUGGUUUAAAGGAAAUUGAAUGAAAAGAAAAUGUAAGGAUGGAAAGUGGAUGGAAAAUAGACUUUUUCUCUAUUUGGAUCAGGAUAGAAAAUUGGAAAGAAAACAAAAAAGUAGUAAGGAAGCCAUCUAAAGCUUUUCUCAUCGGACAUGAGAUGAAAACUGAGAGAAAAGUAUAAACAAUGGUUAAAAUACAAAUUUACCUUUCUUAUCAACAAUGAUAAAAAUACAUUGAUAUAUUAUAAUAUUAUUAUUUAUAUAUAAUAUAAGGAAAGGUAUUAAUGUAAUUUUAUUUGGUUAUAAUUUUCUCUUUUCUUACUUUUUCUUUUAUUUAAACAAAAAAAAAUUCUUCCUAUUUUCUUUCCAUCCAUUUUCUCUUCAUUCAAACAACAUAAAAAAAAUCAACUUUUCUUUUCAUUUUCUUUCCUCUCAUUUUCUUUCCUCUCAUUUUUUAUCUUCCAUCCAAACAAGGCAUAUUAUUACUAGGGUAAAGUACUAAAUUGGUCUCCUAAGUUUGGGCGUAAUUCUGUUUUGGUCUUUAAGGUUUAAAGUGUUCUAUUUGAAUCCAAAAAAGUUUCAUUUAGCAUCAAUUUAGUCCCACAGUGAUGUCAAAAUUAAAUAAUUAACAAAAUGUCCUACAUAACAACAGUUCAAGAACAAAAUCGAUAAUCUAGAGAACAAGUACAAGCUCCAAAGGCACAAAAUCAACCAUUGAAGCAUCAAUACAUUUAUUUAUCAUUUUCUUUAGUUUUAUAGAAAAUAUUUUAUUUAUAUUAUAAAAAGAAUAAAUAAAUGUAUUGAUGUAUCAAUGGUUGAUUUUAUGCCUCUGGAGCUUGUAUUUAUUCUCCAGAUUAUCGAUUUUGUUCUUGUACUAUUGUUAUGUAGGAUAUUUUGUUAAUUAUUUAAUUUUGACCUCACUGUGAGACUAAAUUGAUGUUAAACGAAACUUUUUUGGAUUCAAAUAAAACACUUUAAACCUUAAGGACCAAAAUAGAAUUACGUCCAAACCUAAGGAACCAAUUUAGUACUACCCUUAUUACCAAGAGUGGAUUGUAAGACCACAAAAAAAAAAGGAUUGGAUUGGAUUGACCAAAAACAAAAAAUGAGGUAUGUUUAUCAUGUUACAAAAUAUUUUGUUCAGCUGAAAAGCCUUAAAUAAAAAUGUCAUAAAUAAAAAGCCUAUAAAAAUGUGUAAUUUAAUAAUUAAAGUUAUGACCAUAUUUAUUGGCAAGAUAAAAGAUAGUGAUAAUAUAAUUUUUGAAUUGAAAAUGAAGUGUUAAAUUUUUUUUAUGAAAUUAAAGAGCAUUUCUUAAAAAUUAAUUGUCAAUAACAAUCACCUUUAUUUACUUGUAACGUACGGUACUUCUAGUUAUUUUAUUACUCAUUUCCUUAUCACUAUAUUUAUAAUUUUUAUUUUUUCUAAAUUGCAACUAACAUAAAUAAGUGAAUGAAAAUACAAAUAAAAAUAAGAAACAUAAGUAUGAGGAAAAAAAAGUAAAAAUAGAAAGAUUAUAAAAAUAAAUUAAAAUAAAAAUACGAAGGCUAUGAAAAUAAAUAAUCAUAAAAUUAAAUAAUUAGUAAAAAUUAUUAAUAUACAUAGUAUGGCCUAUAACAGAAACAAUAAUUAUGGUAUUAAAUGUUUUUGUUCAAUAAUUUAAGUUUGCAAACAGUCUAUUAGAGUAAUGUGUCAUAGAAGAGAGUCUCAUGUCAAUGUUACACAUGUGAGAUGAAUAGUGUGAAGCAAAUAUUUUAGAAUAUAAUUUUUUAUUGUAUUUAUGAAAGACCAACAAAAAUAAUGAAUAAUGAUAUUCCUAGUUAUGUUGUUCCCGAGACCGUUUUUUUCUUUUUUCCAUUAAGACAUUAAAAAUCGAAUUUUUUUCCCCAGGUUUUAGUUGGUAAUUUUUUUGUGGUCAAUCCAAUCCAAUUCUUUUUUUGUGGUCUUACAAUCCACUCUUAGUAAUAAGACUAAGGUUUUUUUGGUUAAACCCAAACCUGUUAGUCCUCUUGAAUCCGAGUCACUCUUUUUUGUAAAAUAACCCAUCACAGCUUUUGCAAUAACUUCUAACAUUAGUUAAAAAAAUUAACACUUUAAUUAAUUCAACGUUAUAAUCAUAAGCACUUGGGUAAGUAACCGACAAAUAAAGCUAUAUGGGACCCAUGUUCUGCUACAAAGCAGAGAGUUAGCUUUUCCUUGGUUUCUCUCUCAAUGCGUGUCAUUCCAGCAGCCUCUCCAUGUGUCUUCAGCAUGUAAAGAAAGGAAAUGACUUCAACAUUGUAGAAUCUUCCAUAGAAGUGACAUGAUAAGUUCUCAAAUCGACUUUUUCUUGUUGAGGAGAGUCGACCGAAAAUUUUGCAUUAAUUGUAAAAUUAUUUCGGGAGAGAGUUUAACAAUACAACAUAGGAUACUCGUCAUAAAUUUUCGUGUUGAGUAAAAGUUGAGAAAAAGACAUCAUACAAGGAUCCAAGGACGAGGUGGUAGCGGAUGAAAGGUGAAAAAUAAAGAAGCUUACUAAGACCGAUAGGAGAAGAGGCAAAGUGAAAAGGAGAUUGAAGCACGGAGGAGAUGUGGAGGGAGAUGGCAGAAAUUAUUAGACGAUUAACAUAAAAAAGUUUUGGUAGAUCUAUAGAGAUAGGACAAAGAGACAAGGAGUCAUAGCAGUGAAAUGCGAGUGUACAAGAAAAGAUAAAGACAAAAACGGAGUGCUUUAAAGAGUGAUCUUUGUGCCGCAAUGCAGAUAAUUGGAAAAAAUAUAAGGUGGCUAAGAAAGAGACAAAAGUAGCUGUAAGUGAAGUAAGAAUAAGAGCAUAUGAAGGUCUCUACCAGUCUUUAAGUACAAAAGAAGGAGAAAAAUAUAUAUAGAAUCGUAAAGAGGCUGAAAGAAGAACGAGAAACUUGGAACAGAUUAAGUGCAUAAAGAAUAAAGACAGAGAUGUUUUAGCACAAGAUGAGAGGAUUAAUGAAAGGUGGUAGAGUUACCUCUACGAGUUAUUUAAUGAAGGACUGAAGACUCUUUCGAGCCUUGGUUGGUUAUGUAGAAGGGAAGAAAAUGAAAACUUUGAUUACUAUCGAAGGAUUCGAGACUUGGAGGUAAAAGAGGUUCUAAAGUGGAUGCAAAUGGCAAGGCAAUAGGACCCGAUAAUAUUCCAAUUGAAGUUUGGAAGGGUCUUGGAGAGAAAGACAUCAGUUGGUUAACCAAAUUUUUUAAUGAGAUUUUAAGAUAAAAGAAGAUGCUAGAUAAGUGGAGAAAGAACAUUUUGGUACAUAUCUACAAGAAUAAGAGAGAUAUAGAGGGAUCAAGCUCAUGAGCCAUACCAUGAAGUUAUGGAAAAUGGUGAUAAAAUGAAAGUUGAGACAAGAGACACAAGUAACAGAGAAUUAAUUUUGUUUUAUGCUAGGAAGAUCCAUCACCGAAGCUACAUACCUGUUAAAAAGGAUGAUGGAGAUGUAUAGUAAUAAUAAAAGGGAUCUAAAUAUGGUAUUUAUUGAUUUAGAAAAAAUGUACGAUAAGGUGCUAUGAGAGGCUUAUGGAAGGUUUUGGAAAGGAAGAGAGUAAGGAUCACAUAUUGAAGAUUGUGGUAGGCUUAGAGAAGGGGGUUGAAUUUAUGCCUUUAUUUUAGUUGCUGUUACGACCCUUUUUAAACAAACUUUCAAUUCUGAUUCUGUUUGAACUCAGCAGCAGAAAUUUAUGAGACAAUUUAUUUUUGUCUCAUGAAUAUCAGAAAACAGAACAGUGCAGAGAAGAGAAAAGCUAACACCAGCAUAUAUCCUGAUUCGGUUGCCUUGUGCUAUACAACCUACGUCUAGUCUCCUCCACAACAAUGGAGGAAUUUCCACUAUAGUUAACAGUAUUACAUACAUCAAUUCCACAGGAUUGACCCAAUCCUUCCACACUCAAGUUCUAACCUAACUUGACAUUGGCUAUGCUAAUACCUAACUAUUCACUCUUAGUGCUAACCCAACUAAGAAAGGGAUACCUCACAGGUACAAGAUACAAGACAUAGACAUACCUAAAGAAAUCAGAAAAUAACUCUAGGUUUUUCUCUCAAGUAUUUCACUCAGCCUUUUUCUACUCAUGGCUUUUACUUGAGUUUCCUCACAAUGUCUUUUCUCACAAGAAAUUACAGAAAGAUAAGCAUUGAAAAGUACAUUACAAUCAGUAAAACAUGAAGGAGAUUGACUUCAUCAGCAGCCUCUUUGCUAUGUGCAAAACCAGAUUCGCAAACCUCAGCUUGAGUUCUUCAGUAUUGGCCAAAUGCUUCUUUGAAAGAAAGCAUUAUCCAAGUAGAGGAACCUCCUUUCAGAACACUACUCUCUAACUCAGGUUUUCUCUCCUUGCCUCUAAAUGAGCAGAAAGUCUUCUUUUAUCUCCUUGCAUAUUGCUAGGUUAUUCUUCCAAGGUCAACACCUUGAGCCUUGAGCUUCACCAACCCACAGAUUCACUUUUUCUCCUUAAUCCCCAGAGUAGAAACUCUCCUUCUGACUUCCUCAUCUUGACCGAAAGUCAUUCAACAGCAACCACAAAAAUCUUUCAAUGGUUAACUUAAUCUGAGCUAUUGAGAAGCUACUUGGUCCCUAAGAAUCACUUGUGACCGUAGAUAUACAGCAGAUUAGGGCAGAAAAUAACUUUUUCUUGAAUGCUAUUUUCGAACUUACAGAAAGUUUGGAAGAAGAGAAGAAGGUCUGAUGCAUGCAAGAGGAAAUGGGUUACCUUUAACCUAAGCUUGAUUUGGUUUGAGCUUGGUGAUUUGACAACUGUCAUUCAAGCUUAAUCCUUCUCUCUCUUGCUUCUUUGGUGACUAGCUUAGGGAAGAAGCUCUUUCUCUCUUUCUUACUUUUUUGAGUUUCUGACCAACUCACAGAGGUGAACGUUGCUUUUGAUUAAAGCACAUUGAAGGAGUGAAGACUUCAAUCUUGUAUGAGAAGCUUUGUGGAAUGGACACGGGUUUGGAUCGGGUAGUGAUAUGCUUGGCCCGCUUUGAUUUCUUUAGCUUUGAUUCCUUGGGCUUCUGAUAUUUCUUUUAGCCCAAAAUCCUUGCAUUUUGCUUUUCAUUUCAUUUGGGCUAUUGCAUUUUAGCCUGCAACAAUACAUAAUUAGUAAUAUUCAAUUUAUAAUUACUUAACACAAAUUAUUUAUUUUGCCCAAAAAUAAUGUUUGUCAUCACAAAUUAAUUUGGUUAAUUUCUUAACUCAACAAUCUCCCCCUUGAUGACAAACAUAAUCAAGCAAUAACCAAAAGGAAUUAAAUUUUAGUAAAGUUAGAAAACUUCCCUUUGAUAUUACUUGCUUUAGUGUUGCUCCCCCUUUCCUUUUCAAGAUUAGCUCCCCCUGGAUUUAUGCUUUCCUCUUUGUUUUUGUUUUACAUUAUACUUAAAAAGAGCACUAUAGCGAGCUAUACACAUUUAUCUUGACUAAGGGAUAUCAAAUAAGCAACACCACAUAAUCAGCCAAGCUAAUGUCAGUAGCAAAAGGAUUCAGCAUGUGAAAUCAAGUUUUAAUGCAGCAGUCAGACAAAAAUCCUAAAAGAAAUACUAGUGGCUGCAGCAAUGCCAAAAAAUUCCUAGGACACAUUUGCCAUCCUACUAUUACUCCCCCUUUUGUCAUCAAGGGCGGAUAAUAAGCAUGAUCAAAAAGGCAUCAAUACAAGUCCUGCAAGAAAAGAGUUAGAUCACAGUCCAAAGUUCUAACUAAACUAACAAAAGUGCAGCAGCAUUUAGAGUUAUUACAGUCAUCCAAAAUGAAAAACAGUUCAACAGUGGCAAAAGAAACAUAAGUUAUGAGAUAAAAAGAGAGCAGCAGCAGUUUUUCAUGAGACAAUUUCUAGGCAUCAGAACCAUUCCCCUCCGAAUUAGCUUCCUCUUCAAUAUCAAUGGCAGGGUCUUCAUCCUCUUGAAGGUUAUCGAUAAAAGACAUGAACACAACCACUUUAUCCCUUGAUUUCUUUAGGAAAUUCUCAUGCUUGCUGGCUAGCUUCCUUUGUUCCUUGCUCAUGGCAAUUAAGUGGUUUGAUUGGGAGACAAACUCCUGAACAACAUCUUUGACCACAUUCAGCAGAGCAGAUUUCUUCCCAGCAGAUACGGAUGUACCCUCAUUGGAAAGAGAAGGAGAAUCCUCAGGAACAAAGUCAUCAUCUUCAUUAUCUAAGACCACCCUUUCAGAUCGAGUAGGUCCUUUGUUCUGUUUCACUGAACCACCCCCUUUUAGGUAUGAAUGUCUAUUUUGAUAAUCCUCAUUGGUCAAGUCAACACCAAAAUACUCAAAUAUGCAAGUUAGAAACAUGCCAUAAGAAAGUGCUUUAUCUUUUUCACUCCUAACAGAGUCAAACAUAUAUCUAACCAUCAAGUAUGCAAAAGAAAUUUCAGUUUUGGUGAGAAGGGCAUAUAAAACAAGAGUAUCAGUGUAGGAAACCCUUUGAUAUGAGCCACUUUGAGGAAGAAUAAUGUGGUUCACCAUUCGAUGCAACUGAGCACGCUCAUACCAUAGGGCUUUAUGAGUAGGUGUAAUGCCAUCUAUUAAAGAAACAUGUUCACAAAUGUGAGCCAAUGCAUCAUGAUAAGAAAUUCCAACACCUUCAUCCCACUUAACCGAAGUGUAAGCACAAAGCCCAACAUCAGUAUACUUCAAAGCAUCACUGAUAGUUUCAUUGUUUAAAACUAUGUCUUGGCCCUUUACAUAUGAGUGAGCAGUGCCUUCAUGAUAAGUCAUGUUGGCAUAAAAUUCUUUGACCAACAAGGGGUAAACAGGCUUUUUGAUAUCAAAAAGAUGAUUCCAGUCCAGAAAAAUCAAGUUAUCAACAAAUGGAAAAUUUUUUCUUUUCAAAGAUGGCAAAUCAGCUAGAAAAGAUGGACACAGGGUAUGAUACUGGAUAAUCCCCUCAUAAAAAUCAUUGUUCAUGGCAGGUUUGAAUCUAUAAGGGUUAUAGUUCGAAUGAGAAGUCAAAAAGUGAGCUUUGUGAUCAAAAGGGCCAAUGUCUGGUUCUUUAACUGACUUAAGAGGAACUCGAGUUUUUCCUCUUUGAGAGCGUAAUGGAACAGACCUAGACUUUGGUUGUGUGGGCUCAGGUGGAGGUUUAGGUGUGGCUGGUCGCUUCCCCUUGGAUGAACUUGGCUUCGAUGACCCUGGCUUGGAUGGAGGUUCUUUUGUCUGUGGUGUCUUCUUGGCGGAAGGAGUUACCCUAGAAGGAUUUUUGGUUCGUGCCAUGGGAUCACACCGAGGAGGAGAGGUAGGAGGAGAAGGAGAUAGAGUGAAGGUUCGGUCGUGAGAGCGGGUUGAAGGCUUUGUGAGAGGCUUGAAGAUUUUUUCACGAGGAGGCCUUUUAGCAAUAGUUUUCUUCCUCAUUUUGUGAUAUUUAGGCUUUUGAGGGAAGAGAAGCAGUAAAGAGAGUGGGAAGAAACUGAAGAGUUUGAGGAGAAGUUAUGGAGGAAAGAGAGGGAGUGUUAGUAACUGUACCCAAAAGUGAAUUUCCAAAACCAUGCAACUGCAUCACCUUUUGAAGUGACUUGAAAAGACAUGACCUCAUAAAAGAAAGAUUUUAUUUGAUUUUAAAAUAAAACUGGAAAUUAAUUUAAAUUUUGAAAGACAACAAAAUUAAACUAAAACCCUUUUUUUGGACUAAAAAAAUAAAUCCACUUGGAAACCUUUUGGGCCACGAAACAUUAAAUGAAAACCCUUUAAGAAAACUUAAACACACAAGCCAUCAUAAUAACAAACAAACAAAAAUACAACAUUCAUGUUGGGCCCAUAGGUGGUUUGAAUAAAGGAAACACAUAGGGCUACCCGGAUCUGACUUGAGGUUGGCCCAGAUUAAUUUUUCACUUGCAACAAAUCCAAACUUCGCUGAUUGAAGGGAAACGUUCAUCUUCUGCCCAGAAUUGUCUCAUACCUGUUUAUGAGACAAAAAAAAAAGCUCCAGCAAAUUCAUAAGCAAUUAUCAAAUAAAGAAUCAUAACUCAAAAUUCCUAGACUUGUCCUAAGCAUACAGAAUCUGUCCUCAGCUAAUGGUUUUGUGAAAAUAUCUGCUAAUUGCUCCUCUGAUUUAACAAAUUGAAUACUAAUAUCCCCCUUUUUGACAUGUUCUCUUAUUGAGUGAAAUUUCACUUCAAUAUGCUUAGUCCUAGAGUGCAAAACUGGAUUUUUAGAAAUAUUAAUGGCACUCAUAUUAUCACACAUCAAGGGAAUAUUUUCAGCAUUUAAUUUGUAAUCGGCAAGCUGUGUUUUUAACCAUAAAAGCUGAGAACAACAAGAAGAAGCAGCAAUAUACUCAGCCUCAGCAGUGGAUAAGGCCACUGUUGGUUGCUUUUUACUUGACCAAACAUUCAAUGACUUUCCAAGGAAGCAACAUAGGCCUGAAGUGCUCCUUCUAUCAACUCUAUCACCAGCAAAAUCUGCAUCACAAUAACCAACUGCAGAAAAAUCAUCAAUCCUAGGAUACCAAAGACCAAAAUUGGAUGUGCCAUGAACAUAUCUAAUGAUUCUCUUAACUGCAGAAAGAUAUGACUCUUUUGGUUUGGAUUGGAACCUUGAACACAAUUCAACACUUUGCACAAUAUCGGGUCUAGAGGAAGUUAAGUACAUAAGAGAACCAAUCAUUCCUCUAUACCUAGUCUCAUCUACAUCUUUCUCAGUUUCUCUCUUAUCUAAUUUUGAAUUAGGGUGCAUGGGAGUUCCCAUGGGUUUGGCAUUUUUCAUACCAAAUUUCUUAACUAAUUCCUUGGCAUACUUCUCUUGAUGAAUGAAAAUACCAUUUUCAUUUUAUUUAAUUUGCAGCCCAAUGAAAAAAUUAAGUUCACCCAUCAUACUCAUGUCAAAUUCACUUGUCAUGAGUUUUCCAAAUUCAGAACAAAGAGAUUCAUUGGCUGAUCUAAAAGUAAUGUCAUCAACAUAUAUUUGGAUUAGAAUAAAAGAAUCAUUAGAAUUCUUGAUAAAUAGAGUUGUGUCAGUGGUGCCUCUUUGAAAAUUAUUUUUCAAAAGAAAAGAGCUAAGUCACUCAUACCAAGCUCUAGGAGCUUGUCUUAAACCAUAGAGAGCUUUAGACAAUUUGAAAACAUGAUUAGAAUGCUCUUUAUUUUCAAAACCAGGAGGCUGCUCCACAUACACUUCUCUAUCUAUCACACCAUUCAAAAAUGCACAUUUCACAUCCAUUUGAUAUAAUUUAAAACCACAAAAUGCAGCAUAAGCUAAGAGAAGUCUUAUGGCUUCCAUUCGGGCAACAGGGGCAAAGAAUUCAUCAAAGUCUAUUCCUUCUUCUUGGUCAUAUCCUUGUGCCACUAGCCUUGCCUUGUUUCUUGUAAUGCUACCAUCUUCUCCCAACUUGUUCCGAAAUAUCCACUUGGUGCCGAUCACUUUCUUUCCACUUGGCCUUGGAACCAAAGUCCAUACUUGAUUCUUUUCAAACUCAAGAAGCUCAUCCUCCAUAGCUUUAACCCAAGAGGGGUCACUAAGGGCUUCUUUGAUGUUUUGAGGCUCUAUUUGUGAAAGAAGGGCAAUGUUAGAUCCUUCAUUUGCCUUUCUAGUGGAAGACUGAGUUUGCACUCCAUGAGAGACAUCCCCAAUGACAAAUUCCUUAGGAUAAUUAUUCAAGAAUCUUCAUUCACGAGGUCUGAUAGAUUUGGAGGCAGAUUCAGAUACCAAGGGAUUCUGGGUGCUGCUGGCUUCAGGAUUUCCUUCAGAUUCAUGAGCAACAUGGAAUUGUCUCUUGAAUUUUCAGCAGUUGCAGUUUCUGGUUUAGUUUGACCAGAAUUUCCUUUUUCAUUAUUUUGAGUGGUUUCAUCUUCCUUUUGAGCUUGAUUUCCUGCAUCACAAUCUUUCAAAAUGCUUUGCACCAAAUUAGUAUCACAAAAUGUAACAUGUAUGGACUCCUCAAUAAUUCUAGCAUCUUGAUGAUAAACCCUAUAGGCUUUACUAGUUGUGGAAUAUCCUGCAAACAAACACUCAUACGCCUUUGGAUCAAACCUACCCAAAGUUUCUUUAUUAUUCAAAAUAAAAUAUUUGCAUCCAAAGAUGUGUAAGUAGUCUAAGUUUGGUGGGUAGCCUUUCCAAAGUUCAUAAGGGGUUUUCUUCAAAAAUUUUCUUAUGAUUGUUCUAUUCAAAAUGUGGCAAGCCGUGUUAACCCCUUCAGCCCAAAGGAAUUUUGAAACAUUACUCUCACAAAGCAUAGCUCUCGUCAUCUCUUGUAUGCUUCUAUUUCUUCUUUCCACAACACCAUUUUGUUGUGGUGUUCUUGGACAAGAGAAGUUGUGAGAUAUUCCAAAUUCCUCACAAAAGGAUUCAAAUAAAUUAUUUUCAAAUUCAGUUCCAUGAUCACUUCUUAUAGAAGAGAUUUUUAAAUCAUUUUCAUUUUGAAUUUUCUUGCAAAAAGGUUCAAAGGCCGAAAAGGCUUCAUUUUUGUGUGCAAGAAACAAAAUCCAACCAAACCUAGUAUAGUCAUCCACAAUUACUAAACCAUAAUAUUUACCACCUAGGCUUUGAGUUCUUGUUGGACCAAAUAAAUCAAUGUGUAGCAACUCAAGUGGUCUUUUAGUAGAGAUGUCUUCCUUUGGUUUAAAAGAACUUUUGGUUUGUUUUCCCAUUUGGCAAGCAUCACAAGUGAUGUCUUUGUCAAACUUUAUCAAAGGAAGACAUCUUACUAAUUCUUUCUUUACAAGUUUAUUUAUUUGAAACAUACUUGCAUGUCUCAAUCUCUUGUGCCAUAACCACUUUUCAGAUUCUUUAGAGUGAAGACAAGCUACAUUUUGAUCCUUUAGUUUAUCAAGAGUAAGUCCAUACAUAUUAUUAAAAUGCUUGACAACAAACAUCACUUCAUUUGUCCUUUCAUUAACAACACAGCAUUCAAAUCUUUUGAAAGUCACUAAAUAUCCUAAAUCACAUAACUGACUUAUACUCAAAAGAUUGUGCUUCAAACCACAUACCAAAAGUACAUCAUCAAUGAAAGUAGAUUGCUCAUUACCUACUUUUCCAACAGCAAUGAUUUUACCUUUACCAUCAUCUCCAAAGGUCACAAAACCUCCAUCAUACUUAUUUAGUUUGAUGAAGUAGGUUGACCUUCCAGUCAUGUGCCUUGAACAUCCACUAUCUAUGUACCACAUGUCCUUUUUGUUCUUGGAUGCUAGGCAAAUCUGUAUGAAGAGUUUCAAGUAGCCAUAGGUAUCCAAAUUAAUUUGGAUCCUUUGAAGUUAAUCCAUCUUGAUUGCCCAAGUGCAUUGAAAUCACAAACAACAUUGUAAACUUUGUUUCUUAUAACUCUUUUUUCAAUGAAACAUUGUGCAUAUGAGUGACCAAUUUUCUUGCAAUUGACAAUGAUUUUCUGAUGUGUGUCGCUAAAAUUGAGGUGAGUUAUAUUGCUUGAAAUGAUUAAAGUGUUGAAAUUUUCUGGUUUUUGGAGGAGAUGCAUUUCUUUUGACAAACUAGUUUUUAUUAAAGUUAUUCCUCUUUGCAAAAGCAUUUUCACCAGAAUUUCUUUGAACAUUUUUACCUUUUGAAAAUGAGGUUUUGUUGUAAAAUGGUGGUUUCUUGAAAACAACCUCAUUUUUCGAAAUGUAACCCAAACCUGGCCGGUUUGAACUCAGAUCAGUUCUUGGUGAAGGCUCAGUUUCACUUGUGUAUACUUCAUCAAAAUUUUUUUCAAAAGUUGAAACAUAUCUAAUACCCGAUUUGUUUAGUAUGGAUUUGGUAUUUGAUGAAGAAGCCACAAAUUUUAUAGAGGAAGUGUUGGAAACUGCAUCUUCCUUGGCUAUGUAGCCUAAACCAGAUUUUUCAAAUAAUGGUCUUUGACUUGCAAGUAAUUUGUUCAAGUUACUAGAACCUUGAGCAAAUUUUGCUAAGUCACCAUUCAGCCUUUUAAUCAUAUCAUUUAAUCUUUCAUUUUCAGUAAUUAACUCAUGAGAAGGAUCCACAAUGUGCUUUCCUUUUAAUUUUUCAAGUUCAGAUUUUAGAAAUCUGUUUUCUUCAAUGAUGUCCAAAGCACAUUCAGUUUCCUUCACUUUUUCUUUUAAAAAAUUAAUUUCAGCUCUUAACACAUCUCUUUUAGAUCUGCAUUCAUUGUACUUGUCAAGCAGUUUUGAGGUGUUUAAAGUGAGAUCAUCAAUAAUAGCAUGUAAGUCCUCAAUGGUCAAAUCAUAGUAAUUUAUCUCAUCAAGAUUGUUGUUUCCAGCCAUGAAGCAGUCUUUGUCAUCUCCUUCAUAUUCUUCUUCUUCAUUUGAGUCGUUCUCAAGAUCCUCCCAAGCUGCCAUGAGUACUCUCUUCCUUUCCUUCUUUCAUUUGUCCUCCUUUUUAAGCUUUGGACAGUUUAGCUUGAAGUGUCCAGCCUCCUUGCAGUGAUGGCACGUCACUUUGCUCAAGUCGAUCUUGUGCUCCUUUGAACUUGAACCCUUGUAUUUGCCCUUGUUCUUCAUCAUCCUUCUAAAUCUCCUAGCAAAAAACAAAAGCUCGUCAUCUGAAAUACCAUCACUAGACUCACUCUCUUUCGGUUCUAUUUGUGACUUGAGGGCUAUUCCCUUUUUCUUUGAGUCUGUGUUUGUGUGUGUGGCUUCAUAGGCAAGGAGUUUUCCUCUCAGCUCAUCAUAGGUUAUGGGACUUAUGUUGUUACUCUCGGUUAGGACAGUGGCAGUGUUUUCCCAUUCUUUUGUGAGGCUUCUAAGGAGUUUUCUCACCAAGGUUUGUUCAGCAUAGUUUGUACCCAUAGCAUCAAGGUUGUUGAUUAUGAUUGAGAAUCUCUCAAACUCUUCAUCAAUGCUUUCUCCAUCUUUCAUGCUAAACAUCUCGUACUCUUUUCGCAACAUAUCAAUCCUCGUUUCUUUGACUUAUUUAGUGCCUUCGUGUGUAACCUAGAGUUUUUCCCAAUUUUUUUUGGCUGUCUUGCAUCUAGACAACUUCCGGUACUCUUCAAAGCUGAUAGCACAGUGAAGAAGGUUGAUUGCUUUAGCAUUCAGCUCUAUCUUCUUCUUAUCAUCUUCAUUCUAUUCAGCUUCUUCUUUUGGAUUUACCACUCCAUCAGCACUUGUUUUUUAUGGGAUCUUGGGACCGCUCACAACAAUCUUCCAUAUGUUGUAGUCAAUGGAUUGGAUGAAAAUCCUUAUCCUUUCUUUCCAGUAGGAGUAGUUCUUCCCGUUGAAGAAAGGUGGCCGGUUGUUUGAAUGGCAUUCAGUGAGGGUGUAGGCAACUGUGGUUGUGCCCAAGUUGUUCGCCAUUGGAUCUUUGCUCCAAGCGGUUAAGCUUGAUUCUUGAGACCUUAGCUCUUGAUACCAAUUGAAGGUUGUGGUAGGCUUAAAGAAUGGGGGGUUGAAUCUAUGCCUUUCUUUUAGUUGUUGUUACGAACCUUUUUAAACAAACUUUCAAUUCUGAUUCUGUUUGAACUCAGCAGCGAAAAUUUAUGAGACAAUUUAUUUUUGUCUCAUGAAUAUCAGAAAACAGAACAGUGCAGAGAAGAGAAAAGCUAACACCAGCAUAUAUCCUGGUUCGGUUGCCUUUUGCUAUGCAACCUACGUCCAGUCUCCUCCACAACAAUGGAGGAAUUUCCACUAUAGUUAACAGUAUUACAUACAUCAAUUCCACAGGAUUGACCCAAUCCUUCCACACUCAAAUUCUAACCUAACUUGACAUUGGCUAUGCUAUUACCUAACUAUUCACUCUUAGUGCUAACCCAACUAAGAAAGGGAUACCUCACAGAUACAAGAUACAAGACAUAGACAUACCUAAAGAAAUCAGAAAAUAACUCUAGGCUUUUCUCUCAAGUGUUUCACUCAGCCUUUUUCCACUCAUGGCUUUUACUUGAGUUUCCUCACAAUGCCUUUUCUCGCAAGAAAUUACAGAAAGAUAAACAUUGAAAAGUACAUUACAAUCAGUAAAACAUGAAGGAGAUUGACUUCAUCAGCAGCCUCUUUGCUAUGUGCAAAACCAGAUUCGCAAACCUCAGCUUGAGUUCUUCAGUAUUGGCCGAAUGCUUCUUUGAAAGAAAGCAUUAUCCAAGUAGAGAAACCUCCUUUCAGAACACUACUCUCUAACUCAGGUUUUCUCUCCUUGUCUCUAAAUGAGCAGAAAGUCUUCUUUUAUCUCCUUGCAUGUUGCUAGGUUCUUCUUCCAAGGUCAACACCUUGAGCCUUGAGCUUCACCAACCCACAGAUUCACUUUUUCUCCUUAAUUCUCAGAGUAGAAACUCUCCUUCUGACUUCCUCAUCUUGACCGAAAGCCAUUCAACAACAACCACAAAAAUCUUUCAAUGGUUAACUUAAUCUGAGCCAUUGAGAAGCUACUUGGUCCCCAAAAAUCACUUGUGGUCGUAGAUAUACAGCAGAUUAGGGCAGAAAACAAAUUUUUCUUGUAUGCCAUUUUCGGACUUGCAGAGAGUUUGGAAGAAGAGAAGAAGAUCUGAUGCAUGCAAGAGGAAAUGAGUUACCUUUAACCUAAGCUUGAUUUGGUUUGAGCUUGGUGAUUUGACAUCUGCCAUUCAAGCUUAAUCCUUCUCUCUCUUGCUUCUUUGGUGACUAGCUUAGGGAAGAAGCUCUUUCUCUCUUUCUCACUUUUCUGAGUUUUUGACCAACUCACAGAGAUGAACGUUGCUUUUGAUUGAAGCACAUUGAAGGAGUGAAGACUUCAAUCUUGCAUGAGAAGCUUUGUGGGAUGGACACGGGUUUGGAUCGGGUAGUGAUAUGCUUGGCCCGCUUUGAUUUCUUUAGUUUUGAUUCCUUGGGCUUCUGAUAUUUCUUUCAGCCCAAAAUCCUUGCAUUUUGCUUUUCAUUUCAUUUGGGUUAUUGCAUUUUGGCCUGCAAGAAUACAUAAUUAGUAAUAUUCAAUUUAUAAUUACUUAACACAAAUUAUUUAUUUUACCCAAAAAUAAUGUUUGUCAUCACUAAUUAAUUUGGUUAAUUUCUUAACUCAACACAUAUAUUCAUGCAACUAAAGAUAUGUAUAAUGGGGUUACAACUAGUGUGAAGACUCAAGGUGGUGUGACGGAAGAAUUUUCUAUUGGUAUAGGAUUACACCAGGAAUCAUCUUUAAGUCCAUACCUUUCACAUUAGUAUUUGAAGCACUCACAGAGCAUAUCCAAGAACAUGUGCCAUGAUAUAUAUUUUUUGUCAAUGAUAUCGUCCUUAUGAAAGAAUCAGGGGAAAACCUAAAUAAGAAGUUGUAUUUAUAGAGAAAAAUUCUAGAAAUGUAUGGUAUGCGCAUAAGCCGUAACAAGACGCAAUAUAUAAAAUGUAAGUUCGACCGUCAAAAGAAAAACCCUAAUAUAGAGGUGAAAAUUGGGAAAAACAUCCUACAAAAAGUUAAAAGUUUUAAGUAUCUUGGGUGCAUCAUACAGGAUAAUGGAAAGAUUGAACAGGAUGUAAAUCAUAGGAUCCAAGCAGGUUCGUCAAAAUGACGGAGUGCAUCUGGUUUUAUGUGUGACAAAAAAGUGCAUUUAAAACUUAAAGGUAAAUUUUAUCGCACUGCUAUUAAACCGGCUAUGCUUUUAUGGUACAGAGUGUUAGGCGGUCAAAUGGGAGUACGAACAUAAGUUAAGUGUAGCUGAGAUGAAGAUAUUGAGAUGAAUGAGUGAUCAUACGUGAUUGGAUAGAAUAAGGAACGAAUAUAUAAGAGAGAGAGAGAGAGAAAGAGAGAGAGAGAGAGAGAGAGAGAGAGAGAGAGAGAGAAAAAGAGAGUAGCACCUAUUGUGAAAAAGAUAGUAGAAUCGCAUCUCAAGUAGUUUGGACAUGUGAGAAGAAGACCGAUAGAGUACCCAGCCAGAAAGGUGGAUGAGAUAGAAAAUGGAUAAGGGGUGAAAGACAGAGGAGGACCUACAAAAAUCAUGCAUGAGGUGGUUAAAAAAGAUCUACAUAUAAAUGAUCUCUCUGUAGACAUGAUAGAGCUCAAAUACAUCGUUUGAUCUAUGUAGUCGACUGUACCUAGUGGGACAAGGCUUUAUCAUUGUUGUUGCUGUAAUUUUUGAAAGAUAAAACGUAAGGUCCUUCCAUUGAUUAGAUGAUGACGUAUUACGUUAAAUGUUAUAUGACAUGAUGACAUGAUAAAUUAAUGUCACACAUCACAAGAUGAUUGGUUGAUGUGUCAGAUUAGUAAUAUGUUGUAUGCCACGUAUGUCACGUGUUAUUUGACAUAUCAUAAAUUUACUUAGAGUCAAAUUAGUUGAUAGGAGUAUACACAUAAAUUAUUUUUAUCUCUAAAAUUUUAAAAAUUGAUCAAAUUAGUCUUUAUAUAAAUUUCUUUUAUUUUUUUUAUAAUAUUAAAUUUUUAAUAUUUCUUAAUCCAACUAAUUUUAAUCUCAUUUUUUACACCUUAAUAUACAAUUUCUUUUCAAAUAAAAACUAAAAAUAAUCAAUUUAUUACAAAGUUAUUUUUUAUUUUUAUUUUUAGAUUGAAUCCCGCUAGGGAGCCAAUGAAGUAUUUGUACAAUAUGUAAAAUGGGCUAUUUAUUUAGUCUAAUAUAAGUUAAAAAAUGAACAUCCAAAGUAAGAUACUACUAAUUUUUCAAACACAAUACACCCAUACUAUCCAAAAUAACCAUCCGAGUACCAGGGAUAAUAAACAUCUGAUAUCCUACUGAAUCGAACAUUCCUAUACCCCCAUUGUACACAUUGUAUAUAUAUUCCAUUGGCUCCAUAUACUUCCUCUUUUAGAUUUUAUAUUUUCAAAUUCUAGUUCUUCUGUAGUAAAUUUUUUUUAUGUAAAUAAUUUUAUCAAAAUAUUUUUAAUUAUAUACUAAAAAUUUUAAUUUUUUNNNNNNNNNNNNNNNNNNNNNNNNNNNNNNNNNNNNNNNNNNNNNNNNNNNNNNNNNNNNNNNNNNNNNNNNNNNNNNNNNNNNNNNNNNNNNNNNNNNNNNNNNNNNNNNNNNNNNNNNNNNNNNNNNNNNNNNNNNNNNNNNNNNNNNNNNNNNNNNNNNNNNNNNNNNNNNNNNNNNNNNNNNNNNNNNNNNNNNNNNNNNNNNNNNNNNNNNNNNNNNNNNNNNNNNNNNNNNNNNNNNNNNNNNNNNNNNNNNNNNNNNNNAUUAGAUUUCAAUUUUUAUUCAAUAUUUGUUUUAGUUUAAAAUUUUUUUUAGCAAAUUAAAUUUUAAAAAAAAUAAUAACAAUUGAAAAGACAGAGAGAAAUGGAAUAAGCAAGUAAUAAUAAGGGCAAUUCACGUCGUUAAACCAAAUGCAUACCAAUAUUACUUGAAUGUCCCAAGCUAAAAAAUGCAACGUCAACAUCUCAAAGCACAUUUUUAAAUAAAUCGAAUUAGGUGAAAAAUAUUGCUGAACAAAAAUCGAAUCAAGUGGAUCCGAUUUAAAUGCAUGGUUAAAAUGGUAGCAAAUCGAAUGGAUUUGUUUUGAUUUAUAAAUAAGAGUAAAUCGAAUUCAAUAGAUUCGAUUUAGCUAACUAGAAAAAUGCCCACGGUAAUUCGAAAUCAAUGAAUUCAAUUUGAUGAAUUUGUAAAUCGACACCCAUUGUUUGGAUUUACUAGUUGUUUCCGUGUCCCAUAAUUCGAUUUAUACAUUAUUAACUUUUUUUUUUCUAUUUUAUCACUGUUUCACAUACAAUUUUCAUAAGUAUACUUUAUUCUUUAUCUAUUAUUUCGUCAGAGUGUAUUGAAUGUUCAUCAUGUACAUAUCAUUUAUAUAAGUACUUAAAAUAAAAAAAUUAAAUUAAAAGUAUAAUUUAGACUUUAAAAUAAGUUAAACAAUAUUUAUACACAAUUACAUAACGAUUAAUUUAGUAUUUAAUUUUUGAUAUAUAUAUAAUAUUUUUACUAAAAAUAUGAGUACUAAUAGUACAAGAAUAUUAAAAAUCUCUAAAAUAAGGAGUACACAAAAUACUAAAAAUUUAUAAUAAUAAAAGCUCAAAAGUAUUAAAAAUAAGAAAAAAAUGAAAAAUUCAUAAUAAAUCGAUUUAUACAUAGUACUGGCUAAUGAUAAAUUCAUAAUGCAAUUUGAUGAAAAUAUUAUAUAUAAAAUAUAAAGAUGUAAAUGAUGGACAUUUAAUACAAUUUGAUGAAAUAAUAAAUAAAAAAGAAAAGUAUACUUAUGAAAAUUGUAUGCGAAACAGUGAUAAAAUAGAAAAAAAAUCGUCAGUAAUGUAUAAAUUGAAUUAUGGGAGAUGAAAACAACUAGUAAAUCGAAACAAUUGGUGUCAAUUUACAAAAUUAUCAAAUCAAAUCCAUUAGUUUUGAAUUACCUUGGGCGUUUUUUUAGUUGGCUAAAUCGAAUCUAUUGAAUUCGAUUUACUCUUACUUAUAAAUAGAAGUAAAUUUAUUUUUGCUACCAUUUUAACCAUGCACUUAAAUCGAAUCCACUUGAUUUGAUUUUUGUUUAGCAACGUUUUUUUACCUAAUUCGAAUUUACUUCGUGUUUCAAUAAAUCGAAUUUAAUCAAUUUGAUUUAUAUAGAAAUUAGCUUUGGGACUUUGGACAUCCAGGUAAUAUUGGUAUGCAUUUGGUUUAAUGAGAUGAAUUGCCCUAAUAAUAAUAUUAAAAAAGGUGUUUGCUACCGUACGAUGAUAAAUUCAUAUGUACCGAUACGUUUAAAAUAUGGACAAAUAAUAACAAUCUACGUGGGAUUUAUUUUCCACAUCAACAUUUAAUUUUUGUUUUUUUAAAUAUAUAUUAUAUCACCACUUUUACUAAUACACCCAUUUAAUAAUUAAAUGGGUGUAUUAGUAAAAGUGGUGAUAUAAUAUAUUUAAAAAAACAAAAAUUAAAUGUUGAUGUGAAAAAUAAAUUAUACGUGGCUUGUUAUUAUUUGUCUAUAUUUUAAAUGUAUCGGUACGUAUGAAUUUAUCAUCGUACCGUAGCAAACACCUUAAAAAAAACAGUCAUGCUAAACAUACAAGUCUUUUUGGUUUACAAGUCUUACAAGUUGGGCCAAACCCAACAGAAGCUACACUCACCCACAAAAGCGUGUUAACACGCACAUCACGUUUCCAAAGCGCUCCCUCGCCAUUAAGAACGACUCUUCUUCUUCUUCCUCGAUAAAAAUCAUAACUGUCAUUUUUUCUUCGCGUUUCUCCUCCUCCUCCUCCUCCUCUUCUUCCUUCUUCUUCUCCUCUUUCUUUGUGUUUCUCAUCAUUUUUCUUUGCGUGUUUCAUCUUCAUCAUCAUGUUUCUCCUCCUUAUUCUUUUGAUUUUGUAACAUUAUGUAUUUUUUUCUUUUUUGUUUAAUUUUUUCCUCCAAAAAAUAAUUAUGAGAAUAUGAAAUAAGAAGAUGAAGAAGAACAACAGAAGAUGGGGAGGAGGAAGAUGAAGAGUUCUAAAUUAUGCAGAACUUAUCAGAAUAAAAAUACACCCAAAUAUUUUCGUUUUAUACCCAAAUUUGCUGCAAAUACAGAAAUGAGUUAUGUUAUAUGUACACUAAAAUCAACCACCAAAGUCAGCCACCAGUAUAAAAUACAUACUGGAAUAUAAAUAAUACAUUGAAAAUAAAUUAAAGCACACAUAUAUUUAUACACAAAUACAUUGGUGGUUGAUUUUAGUGGCUGAUUUUAGUGUACAAAUAGCAUUUUUAUACAGAAAAAUAUUUUCUCUAAUGCUGCAUUUUUUUCUUCUUCUUCUUUUCCUUAUUUCUUUCUUUCUUUUAGUUAAAUGAAUGUAAGUUCAUCCUCUUCCAAGUAAUUUUGUAGCAUUAUGUGUUUCUUCUUUUUCUUUAUUUGAUUUUUUUAUUUUUAUUUUUAUUAAGAGAGUAAAACAAAAAGAAACUUGAGAAGGUAAAAUAAAAAGAAAAAGAUGAAUAAGAAAAAAAAGAAGAAGAAGAUGGUGAUAAUGAUGAAAAAAAAAGAACCAGCAGAAGAUGAGGAAGAUGAAGAAGAAAAGUUCUGAAUUAUGCAGAACUUAUCAGAAUAAAAAUACACUAAAAAUUUCUUAAAAUACACCCAAAUAUCUUCGUUUUACACCCAAAUUUGCUGUAAAUACAGAAAUGAGUUAUGUUACGUGUACACUAAAAUCAGCCACAAAAGUCAGCUAUCAGUAUAAAAUACAUAUUGGAAUACAAAUAUACAUUGAAAAUAAAUCAAACCACACAUGUAUUUAUACACAAAUACAUUAGUGGCUGAUUUUAAUGGUUGAUUUUAGUGUACAAAUAGCAUUUUUGUAUAGAAAAAUGUUUCCUCUGAUGCUGUAUUUUUGUCUUCUUCUUUUCCUUAUUUCUUUCUUUCUUUUAGUUAAAUGAAUGUAAAUUCAUCAUUUUCCAAGUAAUUUUGGAGCAUUAUGUAUUUCUUCUUCUUCUUUGUUUGAUUUUUUGUUUUUAUUCUUGUCAAGAGAGUAAAACAAGAAGAAACUUGAGAAGGUAAAACAAAAAAAAAUGAAUAAGAAAUAAAGAAGAAGAAGAUGGUGAUGAUGAUGAAAAAAAAAGAAGCAACAGAAGAUGAGGAGGAGGAAGAGAAAGAGUUCUAAAUUAUGCAGAACUUAUAAGAAUAAAACUACACCCAAAAUUCCUUAAAAUACACUCAAAUAUCUUCGUGUUACAUCCAAAUAUCUUCGUUUUACACCCAAAUUUGUUACAAAUACAGAAAUGAGUUAUGCUACGUGUACACUAAAAUUAGCCACCAAAGUCAGCCACCAGUAUAAAAUACAUACUGUAAUACAAAUAUACAUUGAAAUAAAUUAAACCACACAUGUAUUUAUACACAAAUACAUUGGUGGUUGGUUUUAUUAGUAGUUGAUUUUAGUGUACAAAUAACAUUUUUGUACAUAAAAAUGUUUCCUCUAAUGCUACAUUUUUCUUCUGAAUUGAACCACACCUCAGCCACUUGAUUGGAUUUAAAACAAUAAAAGGAGGAGAAGACUUGUAAAGACUUGUAUGAGAAAAACGCUUGUAUGUGGAGAAUAAACUGCUUAUCAAUACCAUAGAGGGGCUGCAAAAUACACAAAAAUACACCAUAUUAAAACAAGCAUAAACUAUAAAAUGCAAAUAGAACUAUAAAACCAUCAUAAAAAAUAACAAAAAUCAGAUUCAUGAAUCAUCAUUAAACAGAAACUAAAACAAUUCACUAAGAGAAUAAGACAAUUCAUCCUCAGUGAGAUGAAAAGUUAUAAACUAUAAAUAUACCUAAACUUUCCUAAAAUACACCAAAAUAUUCUUGAUUUACACCUGAACGUCUGAUAUAAAAUGCAAAAAAUUCAUCAGAACUAGUACAUUAGAUUUAAUUCAAACAAGGAAUAAUAAACAGCAAAUUUCACAGACAAGGUUCACGCAUUAUUCAACUAUACAAUUAUAAACUACUAACUGGAUUCAAAUUCAAAUUCAAUUAUUAACUGGAAUUAAACCACACCUCAGAAACUUCAUUGGAUUCAAAUUCAAAAUCUACUUCGCUCUGGUUCAGCUGAUAAUCUGAAGUUGAAUUAUCCAUUAUCUUCAAAACGAUUUCAGAGCUUAAUUUCAGAAACAAUGGAAAACGAGAAAAACGAAGAAAGAGAACAGAGAGAGAACUUACGUAAACGGCAAAGGAGAAGGGAGAGAGAAACACACGAAAGAGAUCGAAGAGAGAAGACAAGAAAACGCAGAAGGAAUUCAAAAAAGGAAACGAAAAUCCUUUCAAAAAAGGAAGUUAUAUAUUUGUGCAUUAAUUAAUUGAAAAAUCUGUUAAGGAGGUGCGUGAAACAUACAUGCCAUAAGAAGCAAGUUUUACGGAUUAGGAAUUUUCAAGACUUGUACUUAUAUAGUGAAAAGGCUUGUAUGUAGAGAUUAAUCCUAAAAAAAAAUACAUUAAGAUAUUAAGAUUAAACCAGAGAUCCCACAAAUCAAUUUUUAAUUAUCUAGUUCUAUCACAUAUGUUAAACAAUAACAAAAAUUAUAAAAUCUAAAAAUUUUAAAUUUAAAAUAACUACUAUAUUUUUAAGUAAGAUUAAAAAAAUUAAAAUAUUAAAUAUAUAAUUAAUAAUAGUUUGAUAAAAUUAUUUAUAUAAAAAAAUUUUACUAUAAAAGGAUUAAUUUCAUUCAUUUUUAAAAUUUUAAGGAUGAAAAUGAUUUAGGUGUAUAAUUUCAGAAAUUAAUUUGAUUUUAAAUAAAUUUAUGAUGUAUCAGAUAACUUGUGGUAUGUCACAUGUCAUUAACCUGAUACAUUGCCAAUUAUUUUGUGACACGUGACAUUAAUCUAUUACGUCAUGUCACAUGACACUUAACAUGACAUAUCAUCAUCCAACUAACGAAAUGACUAAUUUAAUUUAUAUUUUAUCUUUUAAUGACUAAUAUAAUUAAUUUAAUCUUUUAAAAAUUAAUUUAAAAAAUGAAUUAUUUUUCAUAGAUAAAUUUAACUAUUAACCCGUUUAGAUAACCUUUUUUUUUUUUAAAAAAAAUAACCAUGCAGGAAAUUUACUAGGGAGAUAAUUAAAUAAAGGCAACUACUCCCAUAAAGAUGUUAAAAGUAUAUUCUCAUGAUGAUCCUUGUUUAAAAAGUGUAACUUAUUUGUUUAGCAACACUUUGAAUAAAGGUAACACUUUUAUUUUAAAUAAAAAUCAAGUCCUACAAUCUAUCAUCCAAUGAAAUAUUUUCACAUGAUAACAUUCAUAAAAUCUUCAUUCAUAAAAUCUUCAUUGGAGUAGCCACCUUAGAUAAAUAUGUGAAUGUUGGUGUAUUCUUCCAAACCAUCUCAAAAUUGGAGCGGCAAGUUACUUUAUCAUAGAUGACCAACGGCAGGGUUUCGAAACAAGAAGGCACAUGGAGCAGCAACAUAUUAUUUUACAACAAUGUAAAUGAAAAUUAAUUCAAUCAAAAUGUCAUCAUUAUUGUAAAUGGGUGGAAUAAUCACAUAAACUAUCCAAGUUGCAUAUUCCAUGCUUUCAUUCAGAAGACCCAAUACCUGAUACUACGAAUAUAACUGGCUACAUUGAUGAUCCAUAAAACACCAGUAACUAAUGCCUUAACAACAACAAUAAUAAUAUAAUCGUGGGACUAGACACCAGGGGCACGUGUCAUCCACAGGACCAUCUCUCUACAUCUAUAAAAUGUUGCAUCUUUACAGUACAAUUCACCUUUCUUUUUUCCCGGGAAAAUCCUUGCUGGGAAAAUUAUCCCGUUUUUCUUUUCUUUCUUUUCUCAGAAUGAUGUUUGAAAGAAGCUCUCCUGCGAGGUGCUUUGUGACGCCACCGCAGCCACAGCCGUCGUGGACGACAAGGCAUUCUUCUUCUUCUUCUUCGCGUUCUCCGAACAUGGCACUGUCAGAGUCAGAGAGUAAAACAUCAUCACCAUCAGUAGCAGCAUCUUCUUAUCCUCAGAACAAAGAUGAUCUUUUUCACGUGAUUCACAAAGUCCCUGCUGGGGACUCACCUUACGUGAAGGCUAAGCAAGUUCAGGUAAAUUGACAGGGUUUUUUUUUUUUUUUUUAAGUUUCAUUUCCCGUUUUCUUUCUUUUUUGAAAUUAGAGAGAUGUAUUAGAGCUAAGGAAUACUUGCAAUUGGGGACAGAAGAAGGCAUUAAAAAUGAUUACCUAGGGGUCAAUAAGUUUGAUUGGAAGAAUGCUAAUGAAGUGUUUGAUGAUUUGUUUCUAUCAGUUAAUUUUGUUUCAUGGAGUUUCUGAGAUAAAAAUGAGUUAUAAUCCUUGAUUUGCAGUUGGUGGAUAGGGAUCCAGCUAGAUCAAUUUCCAUGUUUUGGGCAGCAAUCAAUGCUGGAGAUCGCGUUGAAAGUGCCUUGAAGGACAUGGCCUUAGUUAUGAAGCAGCUGAAUAGGUCUGAUGAGGCAAUUGAAGCUAUUAAAUCGUUUCGCCAUCUCUGCCUUCCUGAAUCCCAAGAAUCUCUUGAUAACAUCCUGGUUGAACUCUACAAGGUAAAUCAGAACUCUUCCCCCUUUCUUUUUUGGGUGCUUUUAUUAUUCAUUGGCUGAAGAUAAUAUUCUACUGGAUAAAAUGUCAAUGCAAGCUUUUCUUGGAAGAACCACACAUGUCUUAUAAUGGAUAUGCUUUUGUUAAAUAACUCUUUGGAUGCUUCUCUUAACUGAUGAAUACGCAUUUCUUGGAAUUACCAUAUACUUUUCCUUGUUGUUUAGUUCUGUGCAUAAUUUGGACACAGGCAUAAAGCAAUAUGGCGAAUUAUUUUCAGACCAAUAUGUUGUAAGCUAACAUUUGUGUUGGAUGAAUUUCUCUGCAUCUUGCAUUUAAUAGAUUUGGUUAUGUUGGUACAGAGGUCAGGGAGAGUUGAUGAAGAGAUUGCCAUGCUCCAUCACAAGUUGAAGCAAAUUGAAGAUGGUAUCACUUUUGUGGGAAGGUCAACAAAACAGGCAAGAUCUCAGGGGAGGAAGAUCCAAAUAACUGCAGAGCAAGAGAUAUCAAGGUGCAUUUUGUUUUUAAACAUGCUGUUUCUUCAUUUUGUUUAUGUAGUUUAUAGAGGCCUUACACCUGACUAUGAAUCUCUCUUAAUGUAGGAUACUAGGGAACUUGGCCUGGGCUUACUUGCAGAGAGGUGACUAUAAGAUCGCCGAAGAACAUUAUCGGUUAGCUCUUAAAGAUGGACUUGAAACUGCCUUUAUACUCUUCUUUUUUUUCCUUUGAAGAUAAAAGAAAUGAUUUCCAUAUUUGUUUCUGCAGAAAAGCACUGUCUUUUGAGGUUGACAGGAACAAGCAAUGCAACUUGGCAAUCUGUUUGAUGCAGAUGAACAAGAUUACAGAAGCAAAAUUUCUGCUUCAGGCAGUGACAACUGCCACAAAAAACAGGAAGAUGGAUGAUUCUUUCGUCAAAUCAUACGAACGUGCCACACAAAUGCUGAGUGAGAUGGGGUCUUUGUCGUCAUCAGCAAGGAAUGUAUCACAGUGUUCUCCACAAAAUGGUCCUGUUGAUGAACCGAAGAAGGCUCCAAAUAUCGGAAACUUGGGUGGGAGGAAUUGGGAAGUGGCUGAAUGUAAGACAGAAAAUUGGUCUUCAACAUCUGAGGUGGAGGCAUCUAAUGCCAGGAGGAGGUUGUAUGAGUCUCCACCAGAUCCUGCAAAAAGAGACCAAAAGGUCCCUUACAAUAAGCCGAAAAGAUGUUCGUGGGGAUUCAGUAAUAAUGGAUAUCAAAGGGAGACUUGGGGAGAUUUCCAUUCAGAUCAUAGAUCUUCAUUUGGUAGUCCAAAUGAUUUGUCUGCACCUCCCAAUGGAAAGUGGAGAGCAGGGACAUUGGAUAAUCCUCCUGCAGAUGGCAGUAACCAGAGAUCUAAACCAUCAGAAUCGCCUCUCGUGGGUUUGAAUGGCGAUUUGGCAAAUGUCACAGGCAAAAGUCAGGAUUCUGAAAUCUCUUCUGCUGCUGAGAAAUCUGUUACAAAUGUAAAAACCAUAGAGAAGAAGAGCUGGGCCGACAUAGCCGAAGAAGAAGAAAAUGAAGAGCAAGAUGAUUUAUUCAGUGGAGCAUAUGCAAAUUAUGGUGGUAAGGAUAGUGGAGAGGUCAAUGAUGAGAAUGCUAACUCAAACAUUCUCUGUCAACAACAACCACCUGGGAAUGGCAUGUUGUCAAGGAAUCCAACCGUGAGGCGGUCUUUGUGUUUCAAUCCUGAACAAAGACCAGAAUCAGCAAGCAAGACUUCAGCUUCGGCUUCAAACUCGGAAAGCCGAAGAAUGCCUGCAAUUCAAAGUGAUUCUUCAUUUACAAGGAGAAACAGAUUGCAGGUUUUUCAGGACAUCACUCUUCAGCCAGAAACCCCAUGAGAGGCCAUGAAUUGAAACCAAAACUUUAAAAUUUAUUUCCAUGGAUAGAGGAUUGUCAAUAUUUUGCAUUGGUUUUGAGGCAUUGUCCUAUGAUUGAUUAGUUUAGCCUAUUCUUUCAUUUGUAACUAACAACCACCUUUGUAUAUAGAUACUCAUAUAUCCUUGUAACUCUAAAAAGUUACAUCAGUUAUCUAGAAUCUGGAGGGAGUCACAAUUUCUGCUACACAGUUGCGUUGAGUUUUGAAACAGUUAAUAACUUUUGAAUAUGCUGAAAGGAACAAUUUUUCAAAAAAAUUAUAUAUUUCUCUUUCCACAUAAAUCUGAAUACAAUAACUGUUUCUAAACAUAUAUACUCUGUUCAUUUCAAUAUUAUGCAAUUGAUAAACUCAACCAUCCAAAUCCCAUUGCCGUAGAUGCAAAUCUUUGUUCACAGAAGUGAAAAUAAAAUUCAACUUGAUGUUAGUAACUAACUAUUGGGAUAACCCUUUCCUUUUGUACUCUUCCCUCUCUUCAUGUGUCCCUUUGUAUCUUAUAUGUCUCCAUUUUUUCUCUUCAGAAAAAAAAAUUCAACCUUGAGAAAGAUGACAAUGUCAUUUAUGCAUACUUCAUAGUACAUAGGAUCUUAGUAUUUUCGUUUAAAAAGCAAACCUGUUACUUUACCUGAAUUCAGAGAUCUGUAACAUGUUACCACAAUAACAUUAGUAUUUCAUUGACUAAUAUGUGGUGUCAAUAUAUUAGUCAAUUAGACAAUUAUAAACUAAUAUGAAUUACUAAACUAUUCCUUGAAAAAUUAUUGCAUAUGUUUACAAAUAGAAUUAUAAACUAAAUUAUUUCUUCUUUUUUUUCGGGACGAUGUUUAUUUCUUACAAAAAGUUACAGACACAAAAUGACAAAAGAAAAUAAAUAUAAAAAAAAAAAAACAAAAUUGCGUGUGAUUCUCAGAACCCAGAGUCCACAGCCACAUGAAACGAAGGCUCGAACUAACUUUCUCAGCCGCAAACCCAAACCCAAACUCACAGAGAGUGGUGUUCCAGUGAUGAUGAUGAUGAUGAUGAAGAUAAACAUACACUCUGCGAUUUCAGCUUCCACCGACUGGAAUUGCUCUUUGAUUCGACCACACCGUAACAACACCCUUAGACCAUUCAAUUUUGCUCCCUCUUCUUCACUCUCUAUGAAUACUAUUUCAAGUAACCGCAUAACUUGCUCCUCCAAUUCCCAUUCCAUCAAGACCUAUCGCUUGUCGCAGCUCACAAACGAUGAGGUUCUCGGACUCAAGACCCGGCCCCGCAUCGAUUUCUCCUCCAUUUUCAGCGUGGUGGGUAUUGGGUUUGCCCCACAUUUGGUUUUUUGGUCACUCUUUUCAAAUGGGGUUUGGCUUUUUGCCCUAAAGUUCCAGUUUUUAUUUUUGCAGGUUAACCCCAUUGUUCAUGAUGUUCAGAGAAGAGGGGAUGCUGCAGUUAAAGAGUGAGUUUGGUGCUUCUUAAACUUUUUGUUUUACUGAUCAGAAAAGGAAUUCUUUGUUUUGUUAUUUAAUUUUGAUUUGAAGUUUUAGAUUUUUGUGUGUGCAUUUUGAAACCUUCUUUUGAGUGUUAUGUUUGUGGUUUUGUAGAUAUACUUCAAGGUUUGACAAAGUUGAAUUGGAUAAAUUGGUUGAAAUUGUGCCCGAGCUCCCAGACCCUGUGGUGUGUUGCAUUUUUGGGACCUUACUAUGAUACUCUUGUUGCAAGUUCUAUUUUAGUGGACAUGUGAUGCUUGUUUUGAUGCUAACAUAUCCUUGUUUUUUGUCUUUUGUAGCUUGAUCCUCAUAUUAAGGAAGCUUUUGAUGUUGCCUAUGGCAAUAUAUAUGCGUUUCAUGCUGCUCAGAAGUCACCUGAGAGAAGCGUUGAGAACAUGAAAGUAUGUCAAUGCUGAUUCUGUGCUUCGUGCUUCCCUUGGGCAAAUUCUUACUAUGGCUAUGUACAAUUUGUGGCAUAGUUUGGUUUUGUGAAAUUACAUGUUAAGUAGCUUCAUGUACAUUUAGGAGUAAUAGUAAAUAGCGCUAGAUAGAUCAAUUGGAUAGAAUACUUUUGAUGAAUCCUUUUCCUUGAUUAGUGUCUUGCAUUCAUUCUUUUAAGCGAUAUCGAUUUUGUAGACGUACUUCAUAUCUUUCCAUUAUCAUGCUUCCAUGCUUGCCCCUUCUUGACUUUGUUUUGCCGCUUAUUAUUCGUGAGAGUCUUGAGUUUUGUUAAAUAUCUCAGGGAGUCCAAUGCAAGAGAGUUGCAAGAAGUAUUAAUUCCGUGGGUCUUUAUGUUCCAGGGGGAACCGCUGUGUUACCUUCAACAGCUUUGAUGCUUGCAGUUGUAAGUUGAACUGAUAUUUUACUAGCUCCUACAAUUCUUUGGUUUCCUAUAGUUUUCAUUUGAACAUUAAUGUUUAUGUUCCUAAAUUUAGCUUAGAGUCAUUAUUCUAUAUUACAGCCUGCACAAAUUGCCGGAUGUAAAACUAUUGUUCUUGCAACACCUCCAACUCAGGAUGGCAACAUAUGCAAGGUAUUUUUUUUAUGUUGUACGAAAAGUAUAAUCAUUACGUUUUUCUUCUUCUAACCAACCCUUUUGUGCAGGAAGUGCUGUAUUGUGCAAAGAAGGCCGGGGUGACUCACAUUCUCAAAGCUGGAGGUGCUCAGGUUUGAAACAUGAUAAUCAAAAGUUUCCUUGGGCAAAUUCUUACUAUGGCUAUGUACAAUUUGUGGCAUAGUUUGGUUUUGUGAAAUUACAUGUUAAGUAGCUUCAUGUACAUUUAGGAGUAAUAGUAAAUAGCGCUAGAUAGAUCAAUUGGAUAGAAUACUUUUGAUGAAUCCUUUUCCUUGAUUAGUGUCUUGCAUUCAUUCUUUUAAGCGAUAUCGAUUUUGUAGACGUACUUCAUAUCUUUCCAUUAUCAUGCUUCCAUGCUUGCCCCUUCUUGACUUUGUUUUGCCGCUUAUUAUUCGUGAGAGUCUUGAGUUUUGUUAAAUAUCUCAGGGAGUCCAAUGCAAGAGAGUUGCAAGAAGUAUUAAUUCCGUGGGUCUUUAUGUUCCAGGGGGAACCGCUGUGUUACCUUCAACAGCUUUGAUGCUUGCAGUUGUAAGUUGAACUGAUAUUUUACUAGCUCCUACAAUUCUUUGGUUUCCUAUAGUUUUCAUUUGAACAUUAAUGUUUAUGUUCCUAAAUUUAGCUUAGAGUCAUUAUUCUAUAUUACAGCCUGCACAAAUUGCCGGAUGUAAAACUAUUGUUCUUGCAACACCUCCAACUCAGGAUGGCAACAUAUGCAAGGUAUUUUUUUUAUGUUGUACGAAAAGUAUAAUCAUUACGUUUUUCUUCUUCUAACCAACCCUUUUGUGCAGGAAGUGCUGUAUUGUGCAAAGAAGGCCGGGGUGACUCACAUUCUCAAAGCUGGAGGUGCUCAGGUUUGAAACAUGAUAAUCAAAAGUUUUUCUGCCUACAUAAUUUGAAUAUAUCAUCCUCGUAUUUAUCUUUUUUGUUUAUGUAUCUACGUUGCAUUUAUUAUCAUGAAUUAAACUAAUGCUACUAUUGCAUUGGUUUCCAUUAUAGGCCAUCUCUGCAAUGGCUUGGGGAACAGAAACUUGUCCUAAGGUGUCUAACUUCUCAUCAGAACUCUUCUCCUCCUAUUUCACCGUUUAGUUAGUUUUUGUGUUUAUCGGUAUAUCCAAUUCUAACAAAAUUACUAAUUCAUGAUAGAUAUGGUGAAACUCAUCCCCUAAUCAGUCUAAAUGCUUGAACUUCACAUCCCUGUUGUAUUAGUUGAAUGUCUUGGUUUGUCUUAUUUUGUCUUAUUUUGUGGCAAUGAAUACAUGGUGACCAUAACUCUUGAUGAUAUGUCAGAAGUAAUUUAUUCAUAUUUAAGCAGCAAAGCAGAUACUAAAUAGACAUCGUAAUCUGGUGAUAUAACAGUACUUAAAUGUACCCAUUUUCUUGAAAAAAAAAAAAGAAAGAGAAAAAAAAAAAGGAAUCUAAGUACUUUGGAGUUGAUAUUUUUUUCCAUCAAUCUUUGACUCUACUUGUGGUGAUACUCUUGUAGGUUGAAAAGAUCUUUGGCCCUGGAAACCAAUAUGUUACAGCUGCAAAAAUGAUACUUCAAGUAAGCAAUUAAAAAAAAAAAAUCUCUGAAUCUGCAUCUGCUAUUGUGUUUCAUACUUUCAAUCACAGAGCUUUUUUCUUCUCUCGUUUAAUUUCAAAAUCUUCUGCAGAACAGUGAGGCCAUGGUUUCAAUUGACAUGCCAGCUGGUCCAUCUGAAGUUUUGGUCAUUGCAGAUAAGCAUGCAAUUCCUUCUCAUGUUGCUGCUGAUUUGCUUUCCCAGGUUCAAUGACUUUUUUAAUAUGCUCUUAUUUCCAGAUCUCUUGUGGUUUCUUUCUACAUGACUCAUUUCCUAUGCACAUAAUUUAUAAUUUCCAGGCUGAGCAUGGACCGGAUAGUCAGGUUGUUCUUGUGACAGCUGGAGAUGGUGUGGAUCUGAACUCAAUACAAGAGGAACUCAGCAAGCAGUGCAACAGUCUUCCUAGAGGAGAGUUUGCCUCGAAAGCUCUUGGCCACAGUUUUAUCGUGCAUGCACGUGACAUGCUUGAGGUAAGUUUUUCUUUCUGUAUAAGGAUGAUAAUAACUGAACAUAAGAUAAAGAGAAAAACAUUUUCUCUGGAAUCAGUAAAAGUGAUCACUAAUUAGGUUUCCUUUUUGUAUUUCCAUACAUGCACAGCAAAUAGUGUUAUGCCUAACCUAAUCAAAUACCCCAUCCAAGUUUGGCCUUAAAUUAGUUGGGGUAGAUGAAGUUUGGCCUUAAAUUACUGCUGUAUUUAUAUCUGAAUUCAUCGAUAUCAAGCAUUAAACAAAAUUAAGUUUGUUUUUGCGUCUUUCAGGCUAUCACCUUCUCAAACUUAUAUGCACCAGAGCAUCUAAUUAUCAAUGUGAAGGAUGCUGACAAGUGGGAGAGUUUUAUUGAGAAUGCAGGUAUCAGUCUUAAGUUCUCCUUUCUUGCUCUAUUUAUUUUAUGUAAGGCGUGGAGGAUUAUUGGUUGGCCUUUGUGGCGGCUAGUCACGGAUCUCUCACAUCCCUUAUUUUUGGAAGUAUAGAAAUUGCCUUAAAAAUCGUCCUCAGGACAUGUUUUUUGUGUCUCUAUAUUUUGGAAUUACAUAGAUUAUCUUAAAAGUUAUCUUGAGGCAGGGAUAAUUUUUAGUUUUUGUUUCUUUCCCCUUCUCUAAACAUUUUAGAUCUUGAUGAACCUUAUUUUCACAUCCCAGAUCACAAUUCAGGAAUUAUAGGUGUAAAUAAUGACUCUGAUUUGCCUCUGCAGGUUCUGUGUUUUUGGGGCCGUGGACGCCUGAGAGUGUUGGUGAUUAUGCAAGCGGGACAAACCAUGUCCUUCCAACUUAUGGAUAUGCCCGGAUGUAUGGUGGCGUGUCACUGGACUCUUUCCUUAAAUACAUAACAGUGCAGUCUCUCACAGAGGAAGGUCUUAGAAGACUUGGACCAUAUGUGGCAACCAUGGCUGAAGUUGAAGGUCUUGAAGCUCACAAGAGGGCUGUUACCCUAAGACUUCAGGACAUAGAGGCCAGGAACGUUUCAAGAUGAGAUAUGAUUCAUCUAUUCUUAAUUUGUUCCAUUUCCGGAGCCAUUUACUUGAUGAGAUUUACCUAUACUUGUGUAUCAUUAACACAUUAAUAGCUGACAGUUGCAAUCUCAAGUUUAUAUAACCCCUGAAGUUUUGUUAUAAUAGGAAAUUUCUAUGGCCCUGUUUUUAAUUUUAUUUCAAUUGUUUUCUAACUAAAAAUAAAUAAAAAAAUUACUUCUCUUAUAUUUAAGUUUUUAAUUUUGAUGCAAUGUUAGUAUAAAAUUAUUUUACACGUGCAUCCAAUCAAAUAGCGUUACAUUAACAAAAAUAAUUAUCUUUUAUAUUGAUUGUUUAAAUAGUCAUCCAAAAAAAUAGUUGUGAUUGUACUGAUUUUGUAAAACGUUUCAUACUGUCCGUACAUUAAAAUUAAAUUCUCUAUUUAAUGCCAAAAGACUUUCUAUCCAAAUGUACUUAUUGUGAUUUAAUUGUAAGUAUAAUAUAAAUGUAAAAUUUUAGUAAUAGGGACAAAGAUAAUAUACGAAAAUAAUAAAAAAAAAUAACAUGUAUAUUUAGAUAUUCAAAAUUUAAAACAUAUUAGUCAUAUUUUUAAUAAUUUAAUUAACACAUAAAAAAUUAUAUUAAUUUAAAAGUAGUUUUUCAUUUCAAUAUUUUAAAAACAUUGCAUAAUUUGUUUAUCAUUAAUAUUUAGUGUCUUGUUAGGCAUUCCCUAUCCAUUAAAUAUAUAUUAUAUCAAUUAAAUUUCAAGAAAAAUUAUUAAAUACUAGCUGAUAGUCUUAUUUAUAUUUUGAAUAAUCAGCUAAUUAAAUUAUUAUUAUUAUUUAUUUCCUUUUAAUAUAUAUUCUAUAGACAUGACUGAUUUUUUAUAUAUUACGUAAUAUACUUGAAAUAAAAUUUGUAUGAGAGCAAACACAUUAUUAAAAUGAGAGCAAUAUAUAUACAGAUAUAUACUUCCUACUUUUUUCUCUCAAAUUCAAUGGGGCAAUUGCCCCCAUACAUUCAUAUGUGGAUCCUGGUAUAGUAUUAUUAUAAACUACUAUAGUCGAACAAUAAUUUAUGUUGUUGAAUGUUACUAUUAGAUUGACCUGAAUAACUACAUUAAUUGUCGUUGUGGAUGCUCAUUGCAAAAUUUUUUUCACUCUUCUUUGAAAAUCACUCUUCACCAUAGACCAUAGUAUUGAUCUUCAAAUAUUUGAGUAUUUGACCCAUUCCCAUGACCUGGUUACAUAACAUGGCCAAAAUGGCAUCUAGAUAGACAUUGACUCAUUGACUCAUUGCAAAUUAGAAACGGGACCUUCCAAGUCUCGAGUCUCGACAACUUUACACACCUGUCCCUAAGUCUUGAUUGGUGGCUGAAUAAUAUUCUUCAUUUCUAUUCAUACAUGCUACCACUCUUCAAACUUGUGUCUAUGUUUCAUGAGAAGGGUAGAUAACAAUACACCAUAGUAGAGUGAGACAUGGCAGAGGUUGGUGAAAGAAAGAAACUGUCACAUGGCCUCCUCUCGUGCUUCUUCUGUGGACAUGGAAUUACAAAAGAAGAACCGGUGCAAUCAGCAGUAUCUGACGAGGACGGAAUCACAACAAGAUCAAGCAGGACUUCGACGGCGGCAGCCGUGGAUCACAACCUUCUUGGAAAGAUCGCAGAUGCAUUUAAGGAGCUUGCAGAGGGGCAGCCGCCUCCAAUAAUGCAGAGGAGGCGGUGGAGGUUGCUGCUUUCUCCCGGGCAUGUUCUUUCGUGGCUCCUCUUUUCGGUUUGGUUGGCUUCCAUUUCAAGUUCAUUGAGAUGGAUUAUGUUACCAAGGUAUUAUUAUUGUCAUUACUUAUUACUAAUAAGUCUAGUUUUCAUGCAUAUAGUGUAAUAAUGGAAAACCAUAUAUGUGUACAACUUGAAUUAGGUGAAUGAUCUAAUGGAGGCAUCCAAGUCAUUCAAGACAUUGGAAUCAAUGGUUGAUGAGGAUGUGAAAACCAAUACGGUGAGAAAACAAGGUAGCCACUCGAGGAAUCUAUUGAAAAUAAAACGUGGCCUUGACUUUCUCAGACUACUCUUCCACCAAAUUCUACUUACAGAGUACGUACAUACAUACAUACAUACUCCUUUGCAAUGAUGAUAGUGGAGAUAUUAUUUUCUUUUAUAAAAAAUGAUGAUGAUGGGUUGUGGAAAUUGGUUUCCACUUUCCAUGAACAAGAUUGUAGAUCCGUGAUAGCGAGUAUAAUUGGUUUCCACUUUCCACUCUUUCUUGCUUUUACACUUCCUCAUGGGGAUAGAGUAGCAUUAUUAUUCAGAUCUUGGAACCUUUUGAAGCUAUUGGUAGGUGGUAGCAAUAUUGCCGUGUUUGUCUUUUAUAUAUAUAUUAUAUUAUCUAAUCUAGAUGUAAGGGUAUAGGGACAAGCUCCCACUAUAAUUUGAAAUUUUGUUAAGUAUUUUAUUCAACUUUUAAAAUUUAAUAUUUAAUUUGGGAAUUUUAUAUUAAAGGUGUUAUAAUGAUCAAUUUUUAAAUUUAAAUAAGAUUAGUAUUUUUUUUAAAAAAAUUGACUUAAAAAAAUAUUAUUUAUCCAUUGAUGUUUUUUCUUUUAAAGUUAGUUUUAAUUUUUCCUGUAAUAAUAUAUUAAUUGAAAGAACUUUUUAAACUAUAAAUAUCAUCAAGACUUAAUUGUAUGGGAUGUGAAUUUUUAAAUAAUCAUUUAGUGAUAUGUGUAGAAAAAAAAUAUUUUAAUUGUAUUGUUAAGAAAAAAAUAUUUAAUUUUUUUAAAAUAUGAAACUUAAAAAAAUAAAAUUUUAAAUUAUAUAUUAUUAUUUAAAUUAUUAUUUUAGUAUUUUAAUUUAUUGAUUAGAUAAUUUAAAGACUAAUUAUCUUAUGUGACGGCUUCCCCUGCACUACUCCAAUACAUCGACAACAUCUUUCUUUCAAGAGAAUUGGGUAUAGAUUGGUGACCAAACUUACUGUAUUCUGUUACUGUUUAAACUUUAAACAGAAUGUGAAUGUAAUGCUUGCCUUAGAGUGCUCAUUGAUGCUUUGUAAGAUGAUAAUUACAUGCAUAAUUCCUUUGAAUAAUUCCUCUAAAUGUAGUUUUGGAUUCCUAUUUACUGGGAAAUUUUCUACAGAAAAUGACUAGUGGCAAACUAUUCUUGCUGUACUUUACACAACAUCAUUGUUGGUGCAUAACUGCAUAAUGUGUAUAUCUCCCAAAUUCUCACCCAACCGAAUUAUGAGAAAACAGAACAAAGUGUGGAAGCAAAAGAAUAACUGCAACAUCAACUUAUCAAAGAAUAAGGAAACAACUAACUUGAAACUGAAUAAUUAGCAGGAGAAAGAAUAUAAGGAAGGGGAAUAUUUCAUUUCAGUUUCGUAGCUUUACAUUUUGCAGAAUACAACAGCAUCCUAGAACAAUGUGCAAAAAAGAUAUCCAGGGAAAUGGAUUCUAGAUUUUCCCUAUCAUUAUCGUUAUUCUAUACAUGUAAGAAAUGAAAAUUUUAUUUAAAAAGAGAAAAUAUUGGUUUGUCUUUGCCCCCCAAAUUUUGUUUAUCCUUGUAUGAGCUUGGUAUAGAUACUAUUAUGAAUCAAAUUAUCAGGAUACACAAGAGAUUAAUAACAGAGAAGAGAUACCUCUCAUCACUGAAUUCCCCCGAUGCAGGAAAACUUGAUUUCAUAAAUCAACAUGAUGUAGCUACGAUUUCUUGAACAUGUAGCUACUGCACUUGAAGCAGUACAUCUGAUUGGAACCAAGGUAGUUCACUUUCCAUAAUCAUUUGGAUUCUUUAUGCCAGCAACACAACUAUGGAUUUAGCAGUGUUAUAGCCCUGUGGACUCUUGGCCUGAUAUGGACAUAAAACAACUACUUUGUCUAUUGUGUCAUCUUAAAGGGCUGACAACCCAUCCUGUAAUCGGGUUCUGCCUGCGAAAUCUCAACUUGUUAUGCCCGCCGCUUUGCAACCGUUCAAGCACCGCAUAUGUGAUUGAAUCCGGUGUCAAUCCUUGCUGCUUAAGUUUUGCAUAAAGGUCCACUGCCUCAGCAGUUCUCCCGCACCUUUCAAGACAAUCGAGUAAAAUAUUAUACGUGACCAAGUUAGGAUAGCAUCCCACUGCAAGCAUCUCAUCAAACAAUUUACACGCCAUGUCAACUUUAUCCGUCUUGCCAAAACAUUCAAUCAGUGUACUAUAAGUUACAACAUCUGGAUUCAAUCCUUUCUCUUGCAUUUCUCUAAACCUCAUGUGAGCUUCAUCAACAUCCCCAUUCUUUCCAAGGCAAUUGAUCAGAGAGUUAUAGGUAACAACAUCGGGCUUACAAUUGCUACUCUCUAGUUCUUCAAACAAUUUUACGGCAAUGUCAACUUCCCCAGAUCUACCAAAGCUGGAGAUCAGAAUAUUGUAUGUAAAUAGGUUUCGGCGGGAAGGGUUAGGGAUGCGGUUGUUGUAGUGGGAGAGGAGGAUUUGGGUGGCUUUGCAGAUGAGGUAGCGGCGGGGGAGAAACAAUUUUCGGCAAUGUCAACUUCCCCAGAUCUACCAAAGCUGGAGAUCAGAAUAUUGUAUGUAAAUAGGUUUCGGCGGGAAGGGUUAGGGAUGCGGUUGUUGUAGUGGGAGAGGAGGAUUUGGGUGGCUUUGCAGAUGAGGUAGCGGCGGGGGAGUAGGUAGCCUCGGGGGUCGGAGGGGAGAGGCCGCGGAGGGGUCACUUCGGCGACGAGAGAGCGACCGGUUGGGGAGGUGGAGGUGAUCUUGGCGGUGUACUUUGUGGCAAAGUGGCAGCGCGUGGGGAGGAGUGGGUGGUGGCAGCGGAGUGGGGUUCGGUUAGAAUUUAGAAGAGAAGUUCAAAAGUGAAGCUCAAUUA
rnacentral:lncRNA from 1 species